UACGGAGGAUCCGAGCGUUAUCCGGAUUUAUUGGGUUUAAAGGGUGCGCAGGCGGGAGAUUAAGUCGGCGGUGAAAUUUUGCAGCUCAACUGUAAAAGUGCCUUCGAAACUGGUUUCCUUGAGUGUAAAUGAGGUAGGCGGAAUGUGUUAUGUAGCGGUGAAAUGCUUAGAUAUGACACAGAACACCAAUUGCGAAGGCAGCUUACUAAGAUACAACUGUCGCUGAGGCACGAAAGCGUGGGGAUCGAACAGGAUUAGAUACCCUGGUA
rnacentral:rRNA from 1 species